rnacentral:rRNA from 1 species
UACGGGGGGGGCAGGCGUUGUUCGGAAUUACUGGGCGUAAAGGGCGCGUAGGCGGUGCUCUAAGUCGGAUGUGAAAACUCUGGGCUCAACCCAAAGCCUGCAUCCGAAACUGGAGUGCUAGAGUUCUGGAGGGGGUAGCGGAAUUCCUGGUGUAGCGGUGAAAUGCGUAGAUAUCAGGAGGAACACCGGUGGCGAAGGCGGCUACCUGGACAGAAACUGACGCUGAGGCGCGAAAGCUAGGGGAGCAAACAGG